UGAAUAACGGAUUUUGAUAUCAAAUUAAGGGUAGGCCAUCAUUUAGUUUAGUUUAUCUCAAACUCCCACUCCUUAUUGGCCUUUGGGAAAAAAGGGCCUAUACCGAUCAAUUCUUGUCAUGGCAAGUGAUGGGCCACAUGAAGCACAACCAGCAGCCCAAGCAAAGCUGGCCCAUGGAGAUACCUAGAGUACACGAAAAUCAGAAAAACUACAAAAUAAGAAACAAAAAAUAAUUAUAAAUACAAAAAAAAAAAUUAUGGAUAUUUUUACUAUAAAUACACAACCAUCUUCUUCAUUCCCCUCCCUCAAAAUACACAUACAAACUAAUCCCUUUCUCAUAUUUUUAUCCUCCACUUUCCGAAUCAUUCUGCAUAAAAACCGCGUCUUCUAUUCACACAUGACUCAAUAUGAGCAACUUAUUAUAUAGGAUGUCCCGAAAGGAACCAAUAUGAACAACCUAUUCAAAAUUAAUCUCACAUAUCAGAUAUAAUAUUUUU
rnacentral:lncRNA from 1 species